AUCAGCAGAUUUCAGCACAUAAUCAUUUAAGAUAAAGUUGCCCGCUCAACUGUGUUAAAAAUAAGUAGCACUGCCUGCAGUUGCUUGUGGGGAACAAAAGCAACGUCUCCUUUCACCCGCAGAAAGCCCGUGAUAGGGGGCGGGGCUGAGUGUCAGUCUGCACCUCUGCUGAGUUCUCAAGGUCGGCGUGAAUGAUUUGCCAGGACGUGGCGCUGCGGUGGCGAUCGGGGCCACUCGGGAAAGGUACGAAUCAAAUAGGAAUCAAAUCCGGUAGCUGUCAGUUCAGUACAUUUUCAACUUUUAUUCUUAAAAACCUGGGUGGAGAAAUAAUUGUAGGAUUUAAAGAUUGACGGACUGAAGCCUUAAUCACCAGGCAGUGACUAACGCCAGAAAGAGCUGCGGCAAUUUUUAGACUGGGUUCAGAAAGGCACCGAGUCCUAGGAACAAAAGGCGGGCGCAGGGCCCUCCGGGAAGACACAGGGGCUGAAUCGCAACAGGACGCAGGCGGCUCACCGUUCUCUCCACACGGACUCUACUUCCUAAAAGGGAAUCGCACCAGCAUAACCUGCAGAGAAGGGGCUUCAGCUGCCGUCUGCGGACCCCCUACACCCCCACUCAACGCCACCUCCAGCCCCCAGGUGCGGUUCCCUCUACUGAGAUCCCCACCCCGACUUGUUCUCUGGACAAACUUCCUCUCGGCUUUAGCUGUAGAAUCGCCAUGGCCAAUAUCAUAGCUGCAACCACAUGUGACUCCAGAGUGCCAGGCGACGCGUGCCAUCAGCAUACACGCCUGGUUUUGGAAACUUACUACAGAAAAAAAAGCCUGCAAAAUAUCUUAAUACUUUUUAAUAUUAAUUACGUGUUGAAAUUAUAUUUUGGAAAUACAUUAUUUAAAAAGA